GGAGGAUUGGCCGAGUGGUAAGGCACCGGUUUGGCUCAAGCCGUGGUCGGGUGAGAGCCCGCGCACGUUCGAUCCGUGCAUCCUCCG
rnacentral:tRNA from 1 species